UGAAUUUCUCUUUCUACAUUG
rnacentral:piRNA from 1 species